rnacentral:misc_RNA from 1 species
GAAAUGCGAUAAGUAAUGUGACCUGCAUGCUUUGUGAAUCAUCGAGUCUUUGAAUGCACCUUGCGCCGCGUGCUCGCACCCGGCAUGCUUGUUUGAGUAUCAACAACACAUCCUUGAGGGAUUUGAGGGGCACAACAUUGGCACAAUGCAUGGCAUUGGCACAAUGGAUGGCGUGCCCCUUUAAAGACGGAACUCUGGGGCGAUCUGAUCGUCCAUGGCUCGCGUCGCGCACACACGCCUGGGAUGAAAGUUUCACACGGUUUGCGCGGCUACAGCGGGGUUCCAGGGAGCGUGAUUGGCAGCUUUGGCAGCUUUGGCAGCUUUAACGGUUUCGCGCUCCCGCACUGAGCGUGGGCAGGCACGCUUCGCGCACCUGCGCACGCUCAUUUCAUUGAUCUCA